GCCUGUUUAGCUAGCAAGCUAACAACAUCAGGAGGAGGAAAAUGGCGAGACGGUGAAUGGCAGGCCACGCCCCCUUGGUGGCCAUCUUAUUUGCCCCUGAGUUCAGACUGUCAGCACUCCCUCUGUGCAGGCCUGCUGUACUCUAUGCUGCCAUCGCACCGUCCUCUCGAUGAGGAAGCGCAGGGCAUCUCCUUCUGGAAGUCGAAUCCGAAUCCUCUGCAGUGAAGCCAGCAGGGGCAGGACCUUGUCCAGAGGGGGUUUUCUCGACCGCUGACAAAGAGGGCAAAGCCAGGCCUGGCCGUACUCGAGGUCUGCAGUUGUUGUUUCCACACAGCCACCGUGGAACACUUCUCGACAGAGCUCACACUGCACUAUGGCACCUGAAGGGGCCUUUUGGCAAACACAAACACUAAGUGUGCAACAGUUUUCAGCAGGAAGAAGCUUAGAUUCAUUUGAAGCCCUCAGAGCCAACAAGAUGUCCAUCUCCCUCUGGCGGACCUCAGCGAGAGCGGUCAUCUGUGAUGAGAGAAAAUUUAAUUUAUUCAAUGAAAUGAACAAUUCUCACUCUCAUUCUGCUACCUGACACCAGAUUAUCUGUCAUUACCAACUACUGUAAAUUAGAUAGUUCAGUACACAUUACCACACUUUGCUGACACAAAAAUGUGUUACUGAUUGAUAAUAAAUCAAUCAUGUUUUACUGUU